AAUCUCUCUGUAUUUUACUGAAAUUCCUGAGCUUCCGACAACACUUGAAUGCCCGCAACUGCAAUCAUUUCUACUAGUUUAUCCUGGUUUGGGUCUCUCGUUAAGAAUCCCAGAUGACCUUUUUACUAUGACAACAGAACUGAAAGUUUUGGAUUUAACAGGCAUAAGUUUAUUGUCACUACCUUUGUCAAUUCAAAUUCUUGAGAAUCUUCAAACCUUGUGUUUGGAUUAUUGUAAGUUGGAAGAUAUAAGUAUAAUCGGAAAGCUCAAGAAGUUACAAGUUCUCAGCCUUAUGAGCUCUGAUAUUGUUCGAUUGCCAAGGGAAUUGGAGCAGUUGACUCAUCUGCGACUUCUAGAUUUGACCAACUGUUCUAGCCUAGAAGUGAUUCCGCGCAAUGUCCUGUCAAAGUUAGUCCGACUGGAGGACUUGCGUAUGGGUAACAGCUUUGUCCAAUGGGAGGGUGAAAAUCAAGGUGGUGUAGGGAAAAAUGCUAACCUCUCUGAAUUGAAGGCUCUAUCAAAUCUUGUCGCUCUAGACAUACACAUUACUGAUGCAAACAUAAUGCCUAGAGAUUUGUUCCCUGAAAAUCUGGAGAGAUUUGGAAUAUUGAUUGGGGAUGGGUGGAAUAUUGAUUUGUUCUCUGAUAUGUAUGCAACGUCAAAAUUGUUGAAACUCAAGCUUAACACAAGUGUUAACCUUGAGGGAAUGAAAGUCUUAUUGAAGACAACUGAACAUCUACAUUUGGAUGAGCUGAACGGUGUAAAAAAUAUCCUCCAUGAGUUAGACGAAGAAGGUUUUCCAUACUUGAAGAAACUCUACAUCCAAAAUAGUCUUGAUAUUGAACAUAUUAUAGACUGGAGGAGGAUGAACCAUGUCAUUGCUUUCCCCGAGUUGGAGUCAUUAUUUCUACAAAAUUUAAAGAAAUUGGAGAAGAUUUAUCACGGCCGUUAUGGGAUGGGGUCUUUCAGCAAUUUAAGAGAAUUAAAGGUCAGAAAUUGUAAUGUAUUGAAGAAUCUCUUUUCGUUCUCUAUGCUCAAGGGUCUUGUGGUGCUCGAAAAAAUAAAUGUAAGCCGUUGUGAAAUUUUGAAAGAGAUUGUUGCUUUGGAAACAAGAGAAGAUUCUGAAAUUAAGUUGCCACAGUUACGCAAAUUGAAAUUGAAGCAUUUACCUCAGCUUACAUGCUUUUGCUCCCAAGGGGAUGUGCCUUCCAUUUCCCAAAAGCCAGCAACAGCUUCUACGAGCUCUGGAGAGGUCAUAUUGGAGGAUGAAUCUGCAACUCUUUCGCUACUUUUCAGCAAAAAGGUACGCUCCAUAUCCUUUUUCUGGUCGGAUUUUUUUUUUUAAGUUAAAUUAUACGUAGAAGUAAUAUUAAUAACUAAAUACAAAUACGGUUUAUUUCUCAUGUAAUAAGUGGAAAUACUUGACAAUACAUUUCUCUGAACUUAAUAAUAAUUAAUUAAUAGUUAAUAAUAUUAAGUAUAUUAAUUUAAAUUUUAUAUUGCUACGUAUAUAAUUAAUAUAUAUCAUAUUUAUUAUAAAAUAUCUAAAGUUUUUUUUUUUAAUUAGUAUUAUAUAUAGGGUAAAUUAUUAUUUAGUCCCUCAGGUUUUACAUAAUUAAUCAACUAAUCCUAAGUUUUGAGCAAAUAUUGAGCUAGUCCCUCAGGUUUAACCCCGUCUAAUUAAAAGGUUCUUCCGUCCAAAAAGUUGAUUUUUUUCCGUUAAUUGAAGACUAAAAGACUAAAAUACCCCUCCCUAGCUGACGUGGACCAUAAGGGAAAAUUAUUAUCUAGUCCCUCAGGUUUUACAUAAUUAUCUAACUAAUCUCAAGUUUUGCACAAAUAUCUAACUAGUCCCUCAGGUUUAACUCCGUCUAAUUGAAAGGUCCUUCCGUCUGAAAAAGUUAGUUUUUUUCCGUUAAUUGAAGACUAAAAGACUAAAACACCCCUCCCUAGCUGACGUGGACCAGUAUGAAGCGAUAAUGAUAUACCUAGUUUGUUUCCCUUUUGUUCCUUCCAUGCCAUAAUGAUAUACCUAGUUUAUCUUUUGCACAGAUAACCUUGCAUUAAAUAUUAAUAUUUAUAUUCAAAGUUAUGAAAUUAUAAUAAUAUAGGUGGCAAUAAUAAUUACUUUUUUUAUCUAUAAAUAACUAUUAUUUUAGAGCCGGUGUUUUCUCCACAAAUAUCUUUUUUUUAAGAAUAUUAAUGAGUAAUUAAUUUUUUUUUUCAAUUUUAUCCUUAUUUAUAUUAAAUUUAAUAAUUAUUUUUAUAAUUUUCCAAAAUCAUAUAACAUCUCCUCUCUUACUUAAGGUUACGUAAUAAAAUUAAUUAAUAUUUUGUUAUAAUUUAUAAGAAUAAAUUUACUUAAUUACCAUAAAAACAUUAAAAGUAUUUAUGAAUAGAUGGAAUACUUUGUUUUUUUUUUUUUAUAGAUUUUAUCAAUGAUAAUAGUAAUGUUUCUUGAUAAAAUUUGCAUAUUAAAUAUGAAUAAAAUAGAAAAUUAUGUUUAUUACUUUUUUUCUAAAAAAGAAACUAUGAUGAUAAUUUGGGGUAAAAAGAAAAAUGAGGUAUUUACUUUUUUGAAGAGGUAUUUACUUUCAUGAUUCACUUAAAUUUAAUAAUAUUUAAUUAGAACAUCAAAUUAAUUUUUUAUCCUUUUUUUAAUACUAUUUUUGUUCCAUAAUAUUUGUCAGAUUUGAGAAAAUAGUUUGUUCUAAAAUAUUUAUCUUUUAAGGAAAAUUAUUAUUUAGUCUUUUAGUUUAUACAAUUCCCUCCCUUAUCGCUUCAUACUGGUCUACGUCAGUUAGGGAGGGGUUUUUUAGUCUUUUAGUCUUCAAUUAACGGAAAAAAACUAACUUUNNNNNNNNNNNNNNNNNNNNNNNNNNNNNNNNNNNNNNNNNNNNNNNNNNNNNNNNNNNNNNNNNNNNNNNNNNNNNNNNNNNNNNNNNNNNNNNNNNNNNNNNNNNNNNNNNNNNNNNNNNNNNNNNNNNNNNNNNNNNNNNNNNNNNNNNNNNNNNNNNNNNNNNNNNNNNNNNNNNNNNNNNNNNNNNNNNNNNNNNNNNNNNNNNNNNNNNNNNNNNNNNNNNNNNNNNNNNNNNNNNNNNNNNNNNNNNNNNNNNNNNNNNNNNNNNNNNNNNNNNNNNNNNNNNNNNNNNNNNNNNNNNNNNNNNNNNNNNNNNNNNNNNNNNNNNNNNNNNNNNNNNNNNNNNNNNNNNNNNNNNNNNNNNNNNNNNNNNNNNNNNNNNNNNNNNNNNNNNNNNNNNNNNNNNNNNNNNNNNNNNNNNNNNNNNNNNNCGAUAAUAAUUUUCUAUUCUAUGUUUUAGGCACUAAAAUUAAUGCAAUUAUUAAAUUUAAGCAUGUCCAUUACCAUAUUAGUAUUUUUUGGAGUUGACAGUACUCAAAUUUACUUUUCUUGAAACACAAACUGUGUCUACAGAUUCAAUUCCCCAAUUUGGUAGAUCUGAAAUUAGCUUCAAUCAAUGUGGAGAAGAUAUGGCCCAAUCAACUUACAGAAUUAUCUCCAUGGAUUACAAACUUAACAAGAUUGAUUAUUGACACCUGCGAGAAUUUAAGUUAUUUAUUCACAUCUUCUAUGGUUGAAAGCCUCGCGAAACUCAUACACAUUGAGAUAAGGGAUUGCAAAUCCAUGAAAGAAGUCAUAGUUACAAACCGAGAAGAAAUGAAGAGCAUAAUGCUAUUCCCUAGACUGGACUCCAUCAAGCUCAAAGGACUUCCGAGUCUCAGAAGAUUUUGCACUGCGAAGUUCAUAGAAUGUCCCUCCUUGAAACACUUGCGGAUAAAGAAUUGCCCGCAACUCCAAGCAUUUAUCUCUAGUUCCAGAAGUACAUAUGCGGGAACUAGCGGACAAGCAAACUCAACUCUCUUUGAUGAAAAGGUUAUUUCCGUCUUAUCUGUUCACGUUCAUCUUUUAGUUUUCAGAAUUUGAUGUUAACUCCAUGAAAUUUUUACUUCAGAUUUUGUUUCCCAACUUGGAAAAUCUGCGUAUCACGAACAUGCACACAUUGAAGAUGAUAUGGAACGAUGAACUCCGGGUGGAUUCCUUUUGUAGAUUGAAAGUACUCGAAGUAGAGCAUGGAAAAGAACUAUUGAAAGUUUUUCCAUCUAAACAGUUGCUGAGAUUCAAGAACUUAGAAAGAUUGAUGGUUAAGGAUUGUAAUUUAGUGGAAGAGGUAUUUGAUCUCCAAGUAUUGAUGAAAAUACAAGAAGAAACAGAUGUUGCAGCAACCACUCAGACUCAAUUGAGAUAUUUGAUUGCAAGAGAACUCCCAAAUUUGAAGAAUGUAUGGAAUGGGGAUCCUAGUGGAAUUUUGUCCUUUCAUAACCUACAAAAUGUGCAUGCAUGGGAUUGUCCAAAUUUGAAAGAGCUAUUCCCAUUUUCAAUAGCUCAAAGUCUUCCACAACUUGAACUGCUGAAUAUAGAUGGUUGCGGGAUGGAGGAAAUUGUUGCCAAAGAGGAAAGAGCAGAAGCAACUCCUAAGUUUACAUUUGGUCGACUGAAGUCCUUAUACCUUUGGAGAUUAAAUGGAUUAAAGUCUUUUUACUCAGAAAACCACAUCUUAGAAUGUCCGCAGUUAGAAAAAUUGAGUGUCUAUGGCUGUGAUAAAUUGGAAAUUUUUACUUCAGAACCUGGGGAUUUGCAAACAAUGGAUUUGGAGAAGCAGGAGACUCAAUUGAAGAUUCAGGUUCCGCAGCCAUUUUUUUCAUUUAGAAAGGUAUGUAAGAAAAUGUGUUUUUUUCAAUUUUAAUAUUUUACAAGAAAAAUUUUUUAAAAACUUAUAAAACAAAAUAUUUUUCCUUUUGAACAAAUUUUGAUUUAUUCGUUUGAGUUCGUAAUCAUAUAACUGUAUUCCUAUAAACGGACUAUUAGCUCAACUUGAUUUCUAAUCAAUGGUUUCCAGAUUAUUCCCAACUUGAAGCAUUUAUCAUUAGGGAACAAGGACACCUCAACGAUUCGUCAAGGCCAGUUUACAGAACAAAAACUAGAAUUUCUUGAAUUGAGUUGUUUUCUUGAUGGUUCAGCAGAUUCUGCAUUUGGUCUCAUUCAUAAAUUUCCAAAUAUUAAAAAGCUUACUCUGGCAACUUCUUCCUUCAAAGUGCUAUUCCAACAUAGUAUUCUUGGUGAAGCUGAAGGGGCUCUCGCUCGGCUGCAAUUCUUAAAACUGGAAAACCUUCCGCACAUGAGCCAUAUUUUGAGUGAAGAUUGCCCACCUGACCAAGUUUUCCAAAAUCUUGAAGCUUUAAAAGUAUGGGUUUGCCCCAGUUUGAUUAUCUUGGCACCGUCAACCGCAUCUUUCCAAAACCUUUCUACUCUUGAUGUUCGGCGCUGUGAUCAACUAGUCAACCUAGUAGCAUCCUCUACUGCAAACAGUAUGGUGAACCUCACGAAAUUGACUGUAAGAGAUAGCAAUAUGCUGAAAGAAAUUGUAGCCAACGAGGGAAAUGAAUCCCAAUCCCAUUCCCAACCUCAGAUUAUUCUCAGUAAAUUGGUAACUCUAGAGCUCCGUGGCUUGAAAAACCUGACUAGCUUCUGCUCAAUUGCAAGUUGCACCUUCAAACUCCCAUCUUUGAAUGAUUUAGUUGUGGCACAGUGCCCCAACAUGAAGAUUUUCUCUCAAGGAGUCAUAACCUCACCAGAGCUAAAGAGAGUCUAUCAGACACAGGAUAGAGAUAAAUGGCUUUCGAUUGGGGAACUGAAUACCACCAUAAAACAAUUGUAUGAAGAAAUGGUAAGUUUGAUAGCAAUCUCUCCUGCUAAAUUCCGGAUGUCUUUUUGUUUCUUGUCCAUGAGAAUAAUUAAUUUGUUACAGACUUACAAUCACUAAAGCACAAUUUUGCUUUCUAGGAUGGAUUUAGUGGCCUGCAGCAUUUGAAACUCUCAGAAUUUCCCCGAUUAAACAAAUCUGGCACGACCAACUUCCCGUACAGUUAUUCUGCAAUUUAAAUACGCUGGUGAUCGAUGAUUCAGAUUUACCUUUAGCUCAGUUCCAUCCAAUCUAAUACCAUUUUUGGAUAAAUUGGAAGAGCUUGAGGUAAGAAAUUGUGAUGCAGUAGAACGAAUAUUUGGUCUAGANNNNNNNNNNNNNNNNNNNNNNNNNNNNNNNNNNNNNNNNNNNNNNNNNNNNNNNNNNNNNNNNNNNNNNNNNNNNNNNNNNNNNNNNNNNNNNNNNNNNNNNNNNNNNNNNNNNNNNNNNCCGAAACUCACACGAUUCUGCACAUGUGAUUUGAUUGAAUGUCCUGCAUUAAAUGAGCUGCAAAUUAAAAAUUGCCCUGUACUGAUGACAUUUGUCUCCAGUUCUGCAAGUGCAGUCAUGGCAGCAAGCAGUGAACGGGAAAUAUUGGACUAUACACUCUUUAAUGAAAAGGUGAUCUCUUUUUCUAAUUAUCUAAAAAGAUUGUCUUCAUUCCUGUUAUAUGGUUCGGUUAAUUUGUUUAUUUAGCUGGUGUACUUUCGUGUUCUAUUUUCAUCAUAUUAGUAAUGGAGUAUGAUUUUGUGAUGCAGGUUGCAUUCCCCAACUUGGUGCAAGUGCAAAUUUCCAAUGCAGAUGCUUUGAGAAAGAUCUGGCACAACCAACUCCACUCAGAUUCUUUCUACAAAUUACGGGUAAUGAAGGUGGAAUAUGGCAAUCAACUAGUGCACAUUUUUCCAUCUAACAUAUUUAAGAGACUCGAGAAUCUCGAGGAUGUGGUCAUAAGGAAUUGUGAUUCGCUAGACGUGGUCUUCGAUCUCCAAGAGCUGGUUAUAAAUAUAACAGAAUCAAUAACGAGUGAAUUGAGAGAUUUGGAUAUUCAAAACCUCCAAAAUUUGAAGCAUGGUGGAUUAAGGAUCCCCAACAAGCUCUCUCCUUUCCUAACUUGAGUUCAGUUUAUGUUUCGGACUGUCCAAGCCUGAAAAACCUGUUUCCAACUUCCAUUGCUAAAAAUCUUCUCCAACAUAAAAUACUUUACUUAGAUGAUUGUGGCUUGAAAGAACUUGUUACAAAGGAGGAAGGAGCGGAAACAAAUCCUAAGUUUGCAUUUCCUCAACUCAAGUCCUUGGACUUGUGGAGAUUAAAUGAGCUAAAUUGUUUCUAUCCUGGAUCUCACACACUAGAAUGUCCAGUUUUAGAAAAGUUGGUUGUCUUUCAUUGUGACAAAUUGGAGACUUUAACCUUUGAACCAGUUGACAGCAACUUGCAAGAAACACAAAUGGAGAACCCGCUUUUCUCAUUUAGAGAGGUACCUGUGGUCCUCAAUCCCUAUAUUAAAGAAAAUCUAAGCACAACGAGUUUUUUUCUUAACAUGUCUGCAAACUAUUUCAAUUUGUCUUUUUUUCCAGAUCAUCAACAACUUGGAGCAUUUAUCGCUAACAAGAAAGGAUGCAACAUCGAUAUUGCAAGGCCAGUUUCCAGAACACCUCUUUCACAUGCUGAAAGUCAUUCAGAUAAAUUGCUAUCACGAUGAAUCUGCAGUUUUUUCCAUUUGAUCUCCUUGAAAGAUUCCACAGCACGGAAAAACUUCUUGUAGGAUGCAGUCAAUUCAAAGAGUUGUUCCCACAUGAAGGACAUGUAGGUAAAGAAAAAUAUGUUAAGAUUGUGGAGAAGAUACGGCACUUAGAGUUGGAUGGUCUUGCCAAUUUAGAACAUAUUUGGAACCAAGACUCCCAGCUAGACAAAGUUCUUCAGUCUCGAUAAAUUCUAGAUGUUUCGGGGUGUGACAGUUCGAUUACUUUAGCACCAUCCUCAGCUUCUUUCCAGAAUCUGACAACUAUGUAUGUAAAAUCUUGCAAAGUAUUAGCAAGUUUGAUGACAUCCUCAACAGCAAAAAGUCUUGUUCAGCUUACAAGAUUGAGUGUAAGGGAAUGCGAUAUGCUGAUAGAAAUAGUUGCCAGCGAAGGAAAUGAUGGAUGAAGAGAGGAGAUCAUCUUCAACAAAUGAAGAAGUCUGGAACUGAUUUCUUUACCCAGCCUUGUUAGCUUUUGUGCAGCAGAGCACAGCUUCAAGUUUCCCUCUUUGACACUAGUAAUUGUUGAGCAGUGCCCCAAGAUGCAGGUUUUCUCAAAUGGAGUCUUAAGCACGCCAAAGCUACAAACUUUAAGAGUGACAGAAGAACUAGAAGAUGAAGGACGUUGGAAUGGCAAUCUUAACGCCACCAUACAACAGUUGUUUACAGAAAUGGUAUGUUUUCUGAAUUAAAUAUUCAUUUCCUUUAAUGAAUAGGUAGGUAAGUGCCUGCGUUACUAGUUCAAGAAAUCACACAAUUCAUUAAAAGACCAAAAAAGGAAAACCAUUCCUCAAGCAUUAUCUGACUUUAUUGCCUCUGCUGCAUAUUUUGCAUGGUCGCCAGAAUGCAGAGGAAGAUCAAUCGCCAUCUAUCGAGUGCUGAAGGCGUAAAAAGUCGAUUUUCGUUGUGAUACGAGGCAGUAGAGGCAAAUGGUGUACUCUAUUGAUUUAUGAAAUGGUGGAGGAUCAUUUUAUUUCCAUGUUGUUGCUGCUGUGAAGCUCUCUCUAUAUUUGUAUUUAUUAAAAGGAUUCUGAUAUUCAUCUUAAUAUUUGUAAUUAUACUAGAAAUUUUUCACACAAUUGCAUUAACUUAAAUUUGUUUUAAAUAAAUCUAUACACGAGAUUCUCCAUGGCAAAACAUCCCUCUUUCUACAAUACCAGAAAAAUAUUCAGCCCAAACUUUGAUCUCCUUCAGGUUCAAUUCAAAUCCAAACACUAGGCCCUCGGACUAGUCAUGUGUUCACAAUCCAUGGGCCUCAGUUUUCACAAGCCCGUUUUAAGUAUACGAACUUUGCUAUAGCUCAAGUGAGUUUUAAUUGCUUACUUGACCUCGGUUUUAAAAAAUGUUGCAAAGACUUGAAGUUAACAUUAUUAAAUUGUAAUUAAAAACUUAAAAUCAAAUUAAACCAGAUUAAUUUAAAUGAAUUCAAAUUUAGUAAAUUCUUUCUUGACAUAUUAAUAUUAAUAUAUAUUUAAAAUUCAGCUUCUGAACUUUAAACCCUUAAAAUACUCGGAUUACUAUAUAUAAAAUAAUGAAUACAAUCCAAUUCUAUACCUGAAAAUUUCGAGAUUUGAGUGGAUACGAAGUUAUAAACAGAAACAUGUCUAAGUCGUGGUUUCCAGUACAUAAGCAGUAAUCUGGAUGUGCAAAAAUGAAACCAUCUCCACAUUUUUUAACAACUCUGAUGCUGCAGGCAUUUCCUUCAAAUAUUAAACGUCCCCAUACUUGCCUGCAACUAUUUUGUUAGGCUGACAAUUACUGAUACAAUGCAUGGAAGAAGGUACAAUAAUAAAGCACCAAGCACUGAUGAUAGUGCAAGUAUUAGGAAACAAAUUGUCCUCUACUGAUUUUUAACUUGCGCGCUCUAAUGGGGAAUUAAACAGAAAAGGUAAAUAGAUUUAACAAGAAGUUAGCGAUAGGACAUAGACGGCCCUGCAAAUGAGUACUGAGAUGAAACAGGCGUGUUGGCUCAAGGGUCAAAUCUUGGAUUUUGAUGAUUAAUACAAAACAAAUAAAUUUAAAUUAUAUUAUUUGUGCUAAUUUUAUUUUAUGUAGAAUUUCUAUGAAAAGAAACCAUACAAGGCAGGUCUUACAUUGAGUGUGAAGAUUUCGAAGAACCUAGUAGCUAGGUAUUUAGGAAACUUUGUAGGAUAGAGAGAAAAUCCAUAUAUGAGCACAAAAAAAAAAAUUUUUUUUCUUCUCUCAAAAAUAUUUUUCGGAAAAUUAGUUUUCUUCAAAAUAAUUUAUUUUCGAAAAUAUUCCCUUAAAUCGAAAAGAUUUGUUUCCCUAAAAACUAAAGAGAUUUCUUCUCUAAUGUUUUUGGUAAUAAGAUCAUUCGCCUUUUCGGNNNNNNNNNNNNNNNNNNNNNNNNNNNNNNNNNNNNNNNNNNNNNNNNNNNNNNNNNNNNNNNNNNNNNNNNNNNCAAGAGUGUUGGCUCAAGGGUCAAAUUUAUCUUGAGAUUUUGAUGAUUAUACAAAACAAAUAAAUUUAAUAUUCUUGUAUGUGCUAAUAUUAUUUUAUGUAGAAAUUAUUGUUGAAAAUUAUUGAAGAAAUGAAGUUCCUACAUCCCAAGAUUUUUAUUUGAAGACCAUGAAGAUUAAUGAAGAUAUUUUCUAUUGGUUAGUAUUAUAAUAAGUCUUAGGAAAUUAUUGUAGGAUAGAGAGUAAAUGAUAUUAUAAGCACAAAUCUAUUUUAUAUCUCUCAAAAUUGUUUUGAAAUGUUUUUGAAUAAAUUUAUUAAGAGGAUAUAGCCAAAAUCUUUACUCUUCACGUUUUUCCAUCUAAAAUAUCUUUGGAGUAAAUAUUCUUGGUAGNNNNNNNNNNNNNNNNNNNNNNNNNNNNNNNNNNNNNNNNNNNNNNNNNNNNNNNNNNNNNNNNNNNNNNNNNNNNNNNNNNNNNNNNNNNNNNNNNNNNNNNNNNNNNNNNNNNNNNNNNNNNNNNNNNNNNNNNNNNNNNNNNNNNUAAAUGUUACACUGUUUUCUAAACUGAACCUUUCAUCUUCAAACCUUGCAUGUGUGAAUAUUAAAUAUGGUCAAACAGCCCUUUUAAUUGCAACCCAUGCAUUGCCUCGUUAGUUUAAAAAACAUCAGAGUCUUUAUUGCUCAUUAAAGCAAAAAUAAUCUCAAUGUUAACUUCAAAAGAGAAUAUCAUCUUUUCAUAUAAAAACCAUUUCCUCUUUUAAAAAGACGGGUUUUGCAAAAGAGUAUGAGUCCAUUGUUCAAAGUUUAAAUCUCUCUAAGCUCUCUCUUCAAUCCCCCUAUUUCUUUUCGUCUUUUUGCUUCAAGAAAAAUUUUUAAGAGAAAAGAAAAUUUAUUAACAACAUUUUCUGAAGAACAGUUCUAAUCUUUAAAUCUAUUUUCUAAAUUCGUUUUAUGUUCUUCCUGUGCUUAUAUUUGCAUUUCUCUCUGUCUAUAUAGAUUUUGUAAUCUGUCGUAGACAGACUCUUUAUUUGAAAAAUUUUUAUGUAAUAGCUUAGGUGAAAAGCUAUGGUGUNNNNNNNNNNNNNNNNNNNNNNNNNNNNNNNNNNNNNNNNNNNNNNNNNNNNNNNNNNNNNNNNNNNNNNNNNNNNNNNNNNNNNNNNNNNNNNNNNNNNNNNNNNNNNNNNNNNNNNNNNNUUAGAUCUAGGUGUUGAUCUAUUUCCUUGUAUUGUUGGUUUGUCUCUUACCCUUGAAAAGAGAUAACAUAGUGGAUGAUCUCAAGAUGCGUCUUGGGGAAUGGAUGUAGGCGAGUUAGUACCGAACCACUAUAAAUCUCUGUGUUUAUCUUCUUUUACUUUCUGAAGUUCUGCUUGAUUAUAUUCUAUUUACGCAACUGUUAAUUUGUUUAGAAAUGCGAUGUUAUUAAUGAGUUUCUGAUUCUAAUCGUGAAUAAGCUUUAUCUCUGUGGAACACUAGAACUUUGGAUUUCUGUAUUGUGAUUAUACCAAGUUCUAAUCUGUCCUUCUAUAUUCAGUNNNNNNNNNNNNNNNNNNNNNNNNNNNNNNNNNNNNNNNNNNNNNNNNNNNNNNNNNNNNNNNNNNNNNNNNNNNNNNNNNNNNNNNNNNNNNNNNNNNNNNNNNNNNNNNNNNNNNNNNNNNNNNNNNNNNNNNNNNNNNNNNNNNNNNNNNNNNNNNNNNNNNNNNNNNNNNNNNNNNNNNNNNNNNNNNNNNNNNNNNNNNNNNNNNNNNNNNNNNNNNNNNNNNNNNNNNNNNNNNNNNNNNNNNNNNNNNNNNNNNNNNNNNNNNNNNNNNNNNNNNNNNNNNNNNNNNNNNNNNNNNNNNNNNNNNNNNNNNNNNNNNNNNNNNNNNNNNNNNNNNNNNNNNNNNNNNNNNNNNNNNNNNNNNNNNNNNNNNNNNNNNNNNNNAUCCUUCCGCAAAAAUAUCCUUCCAAAAUAAACGUUAUCAAAAAUCUUUUCUAAAAGAAAAAUCGGGUUUUAUUCUCUUACCAAAAAGGGAUAAAAUAAAGUAUGGUAACAAAGAUUUUCACAUCUUCUAAAAUAAGGAAAGAAGAUAUUCUGAUCUCUUUCCAAAAGUGACAGCUCCUUUGUUUCCUAUAUAUAGGAACACUCACGCCUUAAAACAUUUGGUGAAGUAAGAGUUUUGUUUUAAGAGUACUCUCUCAUUAAACGAAUCUUUAUCUCUCAAAACUUACUCUCUACCCCCAUUUUCUUUUCAUCUCUACACUUAACGUUUUCAUAUUUAAAGUGAAAAGAUUUUUUACAUUUUCUUUUGAAAAAUGAUUCUAUGUUCUAAUCGAUCUUCUAAUCUGAUAAAAUUGUUUUUCCUGUGCUUAUAUAGGCGUUUCUUUCUGUCUAUUUAGAUUGUGUAAUCUAUAGUAGACAUGCCCUUUAUUUGUUAAACUUUUGUGUGUAAUAACUUAGUUAGAAGCUAUUGAGAUAGAGGUUAUCAAGCGACCUUCUCCAUGUGUGGAAUAGUAAUGUCUUGAAUCGAGUUUUCUGUACUCUACCAAAAACAGAAAGGGUUGAGGUUAACUAGAACCUUUGGAAAAUCUAGUGGGACAAAAGGGUAGAUCUAGGUGUUGAUUUAUUGCCUUGUACUGUUGGUUUGUCUCUUACCCUUUAAAAGAGAUAACUUAGUGGAGGAUCUCAAGAUGCGUCUUGGGGAGUGGAUGUAGGCAAGUUAGUGCCGAACCACUAAAUUCUCUGUGUUGAUCUCUUUAUUUUUGAAGUUUGCUUGAUACUAUCUUUAUAACACUUCUAUUUGAUUUUCAUUAAGAAACGCUAAUAUUGUUAUUAAUUCAGAUGUUCUAAAAUGGUAAUAAAUUAUAUCUAUUCUGAACCUUAAAACUCUGGUAUUCUAAUACAGUGAAUAUACCAUGUUCUAACUGUUGUUCUAUUCACAGUAUAUUUCACUGAUUGAGUUUCUAUUUAAUGUUCUAAACUUUAUGAGGAUGUUCUAAUCUUGAUAGCUCUCCAUCAUAAAGUUAUUUCUGAUAAUUGAUUAAGGCUUUGUGAAUAAGUUCUGAAUUUAAUAACUGUCCUUCACAUAAGCUUUAUAUGAUUUCUCAAACUUUAUGAGAAAGUUUCAAUUUCUAUAACUUCCCUUCAUAAAGAAGUUUUGAUAGUGUAAAAGUCAGUGAGAAGCUGUUCUAAUCAAUAGCUGCACUUCGCACAGACUUUCUAUCUUUUAUAAUUAGAACAUUGUGAGGAUAUUCUAAUCCAUAUUCUAUUCUUACAAAGUUCUGUGUGUUUUUCGCUGUGCUUAGAAUUCUAAUUCUUAUUUAGAAUUUCUAAAAUUUAUUUCAAUUUUUAGAAAACCCAAUUCACCCCCCCCCCUCUUGGGUUGUGCUAUAUAUAUUCGGUACCCACAAGGCGGUGGUGCGAUUUCUGGUUUGGCUCCUUGGUAUGUCUUCCUAUAAUCUGGUAGUGGAUCAAUAGCAUACUUUAAGUACAAUUUAUCCAUUUGAUCAGUCUCUCUCCUAUGUAGAGGAUCAGCUUCAGUUAAAUAAGUCUCUUUCAGACUAUCAGAAUAAUAGGAAGCUGAAGAAACUUCUUCGCGCCUUGGGGGCAGCACAUAUGAGCUCGCAGAAGCACCGAGUUGAUAAGAAUAAUAUGGAUCCCUUGUAUACGAGUCUAACGCAGUAAUAGCAGAACCAGAUGCUGCUGCAGAAACUGAAGGAGCUGCAGGUGGCAAUUCACUUCUACCACUAAGAUUAUAUGUCUGAAACUCUCUUUGAGCCAAGUACAGGGGAUCAGCAAGAAUGGAUGCUCUAUGCAUGGGAACAGUAUCACCAUACAUAGCAGCUGGCUGUCUAAGAAGCUGCUCUCUUUCCAGAUCCCUCUGGUAUAGAUCUAGGGUAGAAGGAGCACCACGUACAGGAGUCACGUUUCUUCGCUCUCUUUGAAGACCAUAAGUACGAUAAUCCUUUUCACUCAUGUAUAAAUCGCGAGAAGUUUCCUCUUUAUGUCUUAAUACCACCUCCUGGCGCCCAAUACCCUGAUCCCUUUCAUGAGGGACUACAGGAUAACUCCUACCAUCACCACUAACUCUGGCAAAUGUUUCCCGAUCUGAAAGACGUCGCAAAUCUCUCUGCCCCUCACAAGCUUCCCUAUCUCGCAUAGUUGCCUUUGCUGGGGAAUGGAUAGGCACUGUAGCUGACUGCACUGACUGAAAUAUGGCAGGUCGGAAAAGUUCACUGAGCUUCCUAACCUGAAAGGGAAAUUUCGUAAAAUCAUGAAUGGUAAACUGUGAAAAUAGAGAAUAACCAUAAAACUACCAGGUUAAACAAGUAAUUCUCACUUGUCGAACAGUAAGUUCUAUCUUGAACUUGUUCUUCUCAUCGUAGUUGUCCUUUAUAGCCCUCUUGAAGACACUCUCAGGGAGUGGAAAACAAUCCUUAUGGAUACUGAAACGUACCUGAACUUCAAAGAUAUCAGUCUACAGAUCUAACUAAAUUGGUGAAGAAAACAACAAUGUUUACCGAGAUAAGUUAGACUGGAUAUACUAAAACAUAACCUGAACUGGGAAGGACCCACCAAAAGCCUUGGGCUCCAGUCUCAUCCCACCAGAAGAUGAAGCUUUAUAAAUUCCAUACAUAAGUCUAAGAUCAAAAUCAUAGAGGAAAAGCUUUAGUCCAGGUUUCACACCCAGCACAAGGUCUUUUUUACUUCCUGUUACUCCCAUGACUUGAUAUCGGAAACAAUCUGGCUUGGUCUUUGCACUACACAUAAAGAUCAAACCACCGAGCUUCUCCUUUCUUUCAUCUCUUUGACUCUUUUCCUUCAAAUCAAGCUUUUCUUUGUUUCUUUGACUCCUCGAGUUCUUAUCUGUAUUGCCAGGCUUUCCUUCACUCCUUAAGUUACUCCCGUUCCUACUUGAACCAGCAAUCCUUUCUUGGCUCUUUUGAGUCUCCAGGUGCUUUGCAUUGUGCUCUUCAUGGGCACCUUUCUUUUUAAGUUUCUCUUCCCUAGAAUUUGGGUUCUGGUCAUUCUUGUGCUCCUGUCUGUUACCUUCCUUCACAUCAGGUUUUCCUUUGUUUUUUUGACUCCUCGAGCUCUUAUCUGUACUGCCAGGCUUUCCUUCGCUCCUUAGGUUACUUCCGCUCCGACUUGAACCAGCAACCCUUUCUUGGCUCUUUUCAGUCUCUUGGUGUUUUGCAUUGUGCUCUUCAUGGNNNNNNNNNNNNNNNNNNNNNNNNNNNNNNNNNNNNNNNNNNNNNNNNNNNNNNNNNNNNNNNNNNNNNNNNNNNNNNNNNNNNNNNNNNNNNNNNNNNNNNNNNNNNNNNNNNNNNNNNNNNNNNNNNNNNNNNNNNNNNNNNNNNNNNNNNNNNNNNNNNNNNNNNNNNNNNNNNNNNNNNNNNNNNNNNNNNNNNNNNNNNNNNNNNNNNNNNNNNNNNNNNNNNNNNNNNNNNNNNNNNNNNNNNNNNNNNNNNNNNNNNNNNNNNNNNNNNNNNNNNNNNNNNNNNNNNNNNNNNNNNNNNNNNNNNNNNNNNNNNNNNNNNNNNNNNNNNNNNNNNNNNNNNNNNNNNNNNNNNNNNNNNNNNNNNNNNNNNNNNNNNNNNNNNNNNNNNNNNNNNNNNNNNNNNNNNNNNNNNNNNNNNNNNNNNNNNNNNNNNNNNNNNNNNNNNNNNNNNNNNNNNNNNNNNNNAGCAGUUUCAGUGCUUUCGCCAUUUCACAUAUCCAGUUAUUCCUUUGCAAAUAUGUUUGAUAUUCACCACUAUAAGGUGCAUUUUUUGGCUUUCUGUUUUUUCAGUUUUAUGUAUCCAUUUCUGUCCUAGUGCAGGCAUUGUCUUCUUUGUAUAUAUGGGACAAUUGCCCUUGGGUUGGUUCUUGCAGGAAGAUUGAAAGAAUUAAGGGUUGUAUAUAUUUUGACUAGUAAAAUUAACUUUAGUUAUCUUCUAGUUGAUGGCAGUUAUGCUUGUGAAUGUAAUGUCUAACUUUUCCUUAUUUGCAGUUUACUAUGGCUUUGAAAAUUCAUUUAGUAGUCUAGCUCCACAUGUUGUACAGGUAGACAUGAUGAAUUCUUACCAUUCUUCUCUGGCAAUUUAUUGCACUUUUCUAUUUAUGUUUUCAUUAAUUGUUAUUUUCUGUUUGCAGUGGCUGUUGGGCUCAUAUAACACACAAAUACUUCUUAUGGUGUUUCUUGCCAUAGUUUCUCUCUUAUUAGCAGGAUUCUUUGGGCACCAUGCCAACCUGUGUCGCAUGAAUACCACGAUUAAUGAGGUCUGGUCUAGUUUCUCUGUAAUUUGUUCAACUAGUUUUAUCUUUUCUCUUGGAAAUAGAUGAAGCAAGGACAUAGGCAGAAUAAUUUAUAAAAUGGGAGAAGCACAUACUAUCCCUGAUUCCAUAUCUUUUUUAUGGGUCGAAAAUGGAAUCAACUGUGUUGUUGAACAAUGAAUAACUACCACAACUGCAGUGCUAUACAUGUUUGCCUCUUCUGGUUAAUUUCAGGACAAAAACAUUGCAUCUUAAUUCUUAAAUAACUUCACGUGACUUUGAGAAGUUUAUGUAAAGUAGUUUCCUUCCCUCAGGCUUAUUUGUGGUGAGUUCAAUAAUCGGUUCUGCAAUGUCAGUAAGGAUCAAACUCUUUCCCAUGAGAGUUCUUGUGAUGGCUGUAUCGAUCUUUACAUGUGAUGUUAUUAAAGUAGUUGAUGUAAUUUGUUGUUUUUUUUUUUCUUUUUUUAAUCAAAUUAUUUCUGGUAGUUUAUGGUAAUUAAAGCCAUGCCUCUCCCUCACUCUAUUGGCAGAUUCAAAUUGUUGCCUUACUUCUUUUGGUAAACAAUUAAUCCCUGAAACUUACAUCUCUGUGUUCUUUGACUUUUUGGUUGGGAUUUACAGACCUUCAAGUGGCAAGAGUACCUUGUCUGGCAAAAGAAGGUAAAUGAAGCAAGGGUUAGUGCCGCGGCACUAAAAGCAAGCAUCAGUGAGAUUGGUGACAAAACAAAGCAUUCAGAGAGCAAAUGUAGAGGCUUUUGCCGGAGAUCACCCCUCAAAGAUGCUGAGGUUUUAGUUAAGAGAAACGUGUAUGAUAAGGGAUUCUUUCACAAUCUUUGUGAGGUAAUCUUUCCGCUGUCAACAAGACCAUCAUGUUUGAGUAAAAAAUCAAAGUCUCGCUGAGAUAGUUGUGAUCAAGCAUUAACUGGGUAGUUUCUAUAGCUUUUCCCUUGAUUGGAGCUUGAACCCAUACUGCAUGUUCAAUAUAUUAUAAUAGAACAUAAUGGAAUGUAAUUCAAUAUGAUAAAAAGAUAAUAAAAUAAUAAACUAUUCCAUUGCGCUCCAUUAUAUAUUACCAAACAUGCAUGUAGAGAAUGCUGUGAAGCUUAUAUUUUAUUUGCUGAUGGAAUAGGCAAAAAUAUAAGCAGCAUAGCAUAUGGCCUUCACCUUGCAUAGUGAAGUUUGAUGGCUAUUUUAGUGCAGAGACAUUACUUAUUCUGUAAGAAGAACAUUGGGAGAUUUUGCUUAAUGCUUAAGCGUGUAUAUUAUUAUUUUUCUUUUAUAGAUUCGAUGAGGUUUUAAAUGGAGGAAGGGUUGAUUUAAAGGUCAGCAUGUAUACUUCAUUUAUGUUUUUCUUUUGGACUAAUGCAUAAAUUUACUUUUAAAGUUUAGGUGGAUUUGCCUUGUGGCACCCUCAAUUUUGCAAGGGAACCUAUCAUGAACUUAGACUUUCACUUUUUAAUAAUAAUUAUGUCUCUACUCAAAAUAAAAUAACUUUGUAAGAAUUCAAUUAUAAUUCUGCAUUUUUACAUUUUAUUUUGGUAAGGAGUAUAAUUAUUACUGAAAUAUGAAGGUGUAAGAUUAUAAUAGGUCUUCCGCAAACUUGAGAGGGUGUCACAAAUCGCAUAAACUUCAGAGAUAAUACUAUGCGUUCGACCUUUUUAUUUUUUAUUUUUUAUUUUUUAUUUUUUUGCAAGUGGUACAUCUCUCUUUGGAGUAGGGCGAUGGCCUUUCUAGCUUCUCAUGUUAUGAUUGGUCUUGUCUUCCCCAAAAUUUUUUUUAGGUUCACGACUUGCAACGUUACCAUCUACGAACUAUUCUAUUCCAUAAUUUAAAUAUUUAAAACUAUAAAUUGUGAGCAGAAAAGUAAAAAAAAAAAAAGAAAAUUCCCUUUUAAAAAAGGACAAUUGUCUUUCGUGGAAUUUAUCUUGGGAAUAAGGCUCAAUUUGUUUAUUCCACUUAGCAAACUAUAAUUUACUUAAAAAUUAGUUUUUUAUAUAAUUUAUCUCUUGAACUUACACAAAAAAAAAAAAAAAAAAGAAAAAGCUUAUUUUAAAAAAAAAAUUAUUCUAAAUAUUUUUAAUUAAUAAAAAUAAUUUAAAAGUUUAGACUUAAAAAAGAAAAAAUAAUUUUAAAAAUUACAAUAUAAUUAAACAAAAUAAUUACAUUGCUUUCAAAUUCUGAAGAUAAAUUAUACGAAAAGAUUUUUGAUAUUUCAAAGAGCAAAUUGGAUUGGAAGUUAAAAGUUUAUAUAUAUAAUGGUUCGAUUGGAUUGGAUGGUUUUCAAAACCAUAUAACCAAACUAAAAGCUCAAGUUUUUAAAUUUUACGAAAGCAAAUCAAAUCAUCAAUUAUUGAAAACCACAGUUUUAGAUCCAUCAAUUUCAGCAGUGAGAUGAAUACCCUUGUCCUGUGAAGCAAUUUGGCCUCGCUGCAUUUAUUAGUGUCUUCAAUGUCAAAAUGAUCAUGUGCAUGUAGGCCAUACUAUAAUCAAUCAACAACUUUGAGUUUUGUUACAUUUUUUUUUUUUUUUGUUUGUAUUGAGGUCAAUGUUUUUCUUCUGUAUUAUAAUCGAAUGAUAAUAAUAAGAAAUUACAUUUUGUGUGUAAACAAGCAGAUUAGCCUCAAGUCAAACUGCUGAAAUCAUAAUUGUUAAUUUAACCAGUUUAUGCAUGAUGAUCAAGUAAAUCUGAAAAAGAAUGGUUGUGAUGUGAUCGUCAUCACAACCUACUGUAGCCUCUUCUGGUUAAUUUCAGGACAAAAACAUUGCAUCUUAAUUCUUAAAUAACUUCACGUGACUUUUAGAAGUUAAUGUAAAGUAGUUUCCUUCCCUCAGGCUUAUUUGUGGUGAGUUCAAUAAUCGGUUCUGUAAAGUCAGGAAGGAUCAAACUCUAUGCCAUAAGAGUUCUUGCGAUGGCUGUAUCGAUCUUUACAAGUGAUGUUAUUAAAGUAGUUGAUGUAAUUUGUUUUUUUUUUUUUCUUUUUUUAAUAAAAUUUUUUCUGGUAGUUUAUGGUAAUUAAAGCCAUGCCUCUCCCUCUCUCUAUUGGCAGAUUCAAAUUGUUGCCUUAUUUCUUUCGGUAAACAAUUAAUACCUGAAACUUACAUCUCUGUGUUCUUUGACUUUUUGCUUGGGAUUUACAGACCUUCAUGUGGCCGGAGUACCUUGUCUGUGUUGUGGUGUGCCCACUUAAAUGGGACCCACACGUGUGAAAGUAAGAAAAAAUAGGAGCAGCCAGUUCAACCGUGAUGGCUUUGAAUUGCUGCACAUGGGCAGUGAGCAUGUUAGGCAGUAAACACGAUAAUUAUGCGUCUCUCAUUCUCUAUAAAUAGAGGCACCUGCAACACAGUAGAAAAAAAGAGAAAAUGUAGCAAGAGAGUUUUCUAGUUUUAGGAAGAGUUUCCCUAGGUGAGAGAAAAAUAGUGAGGAAAUUAUUAUGGGGUGUUUUUGGAAAACACUUUAUGUGCCACUAUUUUUAUGUUACUCUUUUUGUGUAACUACUAUUUUUUUAAUAGUGGAAUAAUUAUUCGGAGUUUGUCCCGUGGACGUAGCCCUAAACAAUUGAGGGUGAACUUUUUUUAAUAGUAGAAUAAUUAUUCGGAGUUUGUCCCGUGGACGUAGCCCUAAACAAUUGAGGGUGAACCACGUAAAUUUCUGUGUGUCCCAUUUCUAUUUUCCGCUGUGUAAUUAUUCUCUUAAUUCUUGAAAAGGCCCAACAAGUGGUAUCAGAAUUGAUGCCUAACAACUGGUAUCAGAACUGAUUCCCAACAAGUGGUAUCAGAGCCGAAGGUUUCGGUAGAUCCAGCCGAUUAGAUAGCGGUACUAGAUCCGUGGAUAUAUUUUGAAAAUAAAUAUACCACGACGAAGAGAAAAUUACGAUGAGUCCAUUGGUGUUAUCCGCUCGGAAAGACGUUGCAGAAUCGACUUAGUGAUGAAUGGUAAAAUAGUAACUCGCGGUUGAAAGUGAAUAGUUACUAUUGGCGUUACUGUUGCUGAGCCCGUCACUAUUAAGCCCAGCACUAUUACGUAUAGUACUAUUCAUGAAUAUAUGUACUAUUCAUAUAUAGUACUAUUUACGUGUACAGUUACUGUUCAUACAUAAAGUUACUAUUCGAUUAUACUAUUACUAUUAAUGGUCACUAUUUACGUAUACUACUGUUCACAUAUACGGUUUAUGUUAGUGAUGAUAUUCUGCAUAAGUCAAAAUCGAUAAAUAAAAUGAUCAGUCUGAAUGACGCGUAUUUUAUCAACAACUAAAAAAUUUUCACCAAAUUAAUAAUGUAUUUACUCUGAUAAUGACAAAUAUUUUAAAAAAGAUUUUAAAAUAAAAUAGAGAAUCACAGUUGAGGGCAGUUUUGAGGUCAACAUCUUGACUUAAGUGCAAAGCUUAACCAAGGAGGAAAUUGAAUCGAAGUAACUCCAAAUUUGAUUUUGGGGUCUCAUAGAAGUCAAGCAAAGUCAUUUGAGACUCUCUCUCUCUAGCUUCAAAAGAGCGCCAGCUCUGCUUCCGUACAACCCCUAGGCUAUACCCUACGGCUAGAAGAAUCAAACCAAUAAACUUUCUCUGACUAUUUUACCCUUCCACCCCGUAAUUAUUACAUUAACUGCCAUCAAUUGUUAUUAUUAUUAUUUUUUUUUUAUCAUGAAUUCUGGAAGCUUCUUAAUGGAAAGUAGACAUGAUAUGACUAGCUUAUCCACCCUAAUUGCUAAUUUUGUAAUUAGUGGAAAAACUCUUCUCUCACCCCAAUCUUGUAUGUCAAUGUGAAAUUUGAUAAAAGCGGUUAAGUUACUUUUUCAAAAAAUUAUAUAUAAAAAAUUGAGAACUUUAUAUAUAUAUUUUUUCGAUCUGAAAUUAAAUUAAAUAUAAUAUAAUUAUUUGUAAUGCUGCAUGGAAUGACCAAAAUGUUCAUCUUAGUUUUGGAAUAGUUUGUAACGUUUAACAAGGGUAAAGUAUCAUCACCUUCAUUUGUAAAUCAGUCAAAAUGAACGUUAUAUUUUGGACCACCUUUCUUUUAUUUUACUUCAAUUCCAAGAAUUAUCAAAUUUUGGAAGUAAAUUUUCUUUCCCGUAUUAAAAAAUAAAUUACGUAUUUUACUUAAAUGAUUAAAAAUAGAGAAUAACAUAAAAUAAAUUGAAUCCAUCUCCAAUUUUAACAGUCUUUUUACAAUAAUUCAAUUCAAUUUUUUCAAGAGAAAUGAAUUUUUGCUCAAUAUUUUUUAAUAGAUGAUGCCAAAAUCAAUAUAAUGGGAGAAGAAAAAGAUUAUAUUUCACGUCAGAAACAAAAAAAAAAAAAAAAAAAAAAAAAAAAAAAAAAGAAAAUUGAAACAGCAUUUAAUAGGAAAUUAUUUAAAAAAGCAUACUUACAGAGUAGGCCCGUUGGACAAGCAAAUGAAUGAGAUGUCAAGUCACUUCUUUAUUAUGGUUUGGUGGUAGUAUAAUAAAUACAAAGCAGAAAAAUCAGUCUCAUUUCAGCCUUCAGUAUAGAAAAUUAUUAUUAUUAUCAUCUUCUCUUUGGUAGUUUGCUAUUGUUUUCUCUGAGUUUUUAAAAAUUAAAAUCCACAAUAAGAAUAUGGAUGAUCGUCAUCACAACCUACUGUAGCAACAGCUUCGUUACUUAAGUUGGGGGAAGCAGGCUGUUUUACUUCUCUUCAAGCCUUUACCCGCUUCUUUCUCUUUCUUUUCUUUGAUCAGCCAUUCUAAGCUUUCGCCAAGUGAUCAUCACUUCCUUCCUGCAGAUUAAGGAUUUCAAAUUCCUUCUUUUGUUUGCUUUUAUAUUCCAUUCCUUCAUAUUUUGUCUGUUUUCUCCUUGUUGUUUUCCAUUUCUCAUUUUGAUUCCAAAACCACAAUCUUUUCUCCUCUCUCUUCUUUUUAUGUUAAUUGCUUAUUAUUAGUUGAUUUUCUUUCCAAUUCUCAAUCUUUUUCCUGUCUGAAAGUUUGUUUUCUUAUUCCUAAAAACAAAAAAAAAAAAAAAACAAAAAAAAAAAGAACCAAUUAAGGAGCAAAUGGACACACUUGUGGGAACUGGAGUAACAAAAGUUACAGAACCGUUGAUUGAUUCAGUAUUGCGUCAAAUUGGGUAUAUAUGGAACUACCGGGACAACCUCCAGAGCUUGAGAGCUCAAGUACAAAAACUGAAAGGUGAAAUGCAAGUUUUGGAGCAUAAAAUGGAGAAUGCUAGACAAAAAGGAGAACAAAUUGAAGAUCUUGUGAAGAGCUGGCUGAAAGAUGCGAAUGAGAAAAUUGAAGCUUCUGAGAAAAUUUUGGAAGAUAAUGACAGAGCGAAUCAUUUUUGCUUUAUGGGAUGCUGUCCUAAUAUGAAGACCCGCCACCAGUUCAGCAGAAAAGCAAAUAAAAAGACACAAGUUCUGGUUGAGGUUCGAAACGAAGGCAAGUUUGAGAAAAUCUCCUACCGCACUGCUCUCAAGGGGAUAGGCCCUCCUAAGGAUUAUGAAGCCUUUGAAUCCAGAAUGCUAAUUUUGAACCAAAUGCUGGAGGCUCUAAAAGAUGUUGAUGUUACUAUGAUUGGGGUGUAUGGAAUGGGAGGUGUGGGCAAGACAACACUAGCAAAAAAACUUGCCAAACAAGUUGAGGAAGAUGGAAUUUUCAAGGUGGUGGUUAUAGCAACGGUAACCUCUAAUGUAGACUUGAAAAGAAUUCAACAAGAGAUCGCAGAGUGGUUAAGGUUCCCUCUUGACGCGGAGGCCCCCACACCGAGGGCAGCUUCGUUAUGCUUAAGACUGAAACAGGAGGAGAAAAUUCUUGUAAUUCUUGAUGACNNNNNNNNNNNNNNNNNNNNNNNNNNNNNNNNNNNNNNNNNNNNNNNNNNNNNNNNNNNNNNNNNNNNNNNNNNNNNNNNNNNNNNNNNNNNNNNNNNNNNNNNNNNNNNNNNNNNNNNNNNNNAAGUUUUAGAGGAUGAAGAGGCAAGGCAAUUAUUUGAGAAGAAGGUGGGAACUCUAAAACAUUCGCAGAUAAAACCUAUGACAGAUGAAGUUGCAAAGAGAUGUGCAGGUUUGCCAAUUUCAAUUGUGGCAGUUGCAACAGCAUUGAAAAAUAAGGGGUUGGAAGAAUGGAAGGAUGCCUUGGAACGCCUGAAAAGGUCUGAUGAGGAUGAUAUGGAUAAGCAAGUUCAAUCUUGUUUUGAUUUAAGCUAUAGAUAUUUGGAAAAUGAUGAAAUGAAAUCACUAUUACGUUUAAGCGCAUAUUUAUUUUUUAGCGAUAGAGUAGACCAAUUGCUGAAAUAUGUUUUGGGCUUGAGUUUAUUCGAGGGAUGCAGAAACUUAGAGGAAACAAGUAAUAGACUUCAUAAGUAUGUUAAUGACCUCAAAUCCUCAUGUUUGCUGCUAGAAGGUCAGAGGGAUGGAGAAUUCAAAAUGCACGACGUUGUUCGCAGUUUUGCUAUUUCAACUGCAUCUAGGGAUCAUCACGUCUUCGCUGUAGCAGAUGACAAGUUAUUAGAAUGGCCACCUAAAUCUAAACUUGAACAGUGCACCGCAAUCUCUUUAUAUUAUCCUGAAAUUCCUGAGCUUCCUACAACACUUGAAUGCCCGCAACUGCAAUCAUUUCUACUAGUUUUUCCUGCUUUGGGUCUCUCGUUAAGAAUCCCAGAUGACCUUUUUACUAUGACAACAGAACUGAAAGUUUUGGAUUUAACAGGCAUAAGUUUAUUGUCACUACCUUUGUCAAUUCAAAUUCUUGAGAAUCUUCAAACCUUGUGUUUGGAUUAUUGUAAGUUGGAAGAUAUAAGUAUAAUCGGAAAGCUAAAGAAGUUGCAAGUUCUCAGCCUUAUGAACUCUGAUAUUGUUCGAUUGCCAAGGGAAUUGGAGCAGUUGACUCAUCUGCGACUUUUAGAUUUGAGCAACUGUUCUAGCCUAGAAGUGAUUCCUCGCAAUGUCCUGUCAAAGUUAGUCCGAUUGGAGGACCUGCGCAUGGGUAACAGCUUUGUCCAAUGGGAGGGUGAAAAACAAGGUGGUGUAGGGAAAAAUGCUAGCCUCUCUGAAUUGAAGGCUCUAUCAAAUCUAGUAGCUCUAGACAUACACAUUCUUGAUGCAAACAUACUGCCUAGAGAUUUGUUCUCUGAAAAGCUGGAGAGAUUUAGAAUAUUCAUUGGGGAUGGGUGGAAUUGGUCUGAUGAUAUGUAUGCAACGUCAAAAGUGCUGAAACUCAAGCUUAACACAAGUGUUAACCUUGAGGGAAUAAAAGUCUUAUUGAUGACAACUGAACAUCUACAUUUGGAUGAGCUGAACGGUGUAAAAAAUAUCCUCCAUGAGUUAGACGAAGAAGGUUUUCCAUACUUGAAGAAACUCUACAUCCAAAAUAGUCUUGAUAUUGAACAUAUUAUAGACUGGAGGAGGAUGAACCAUGUCAUUGCUUUCCCCGAGUUGGAGUCAUUAUUUCUACAAAAUUUAAAGAAAUUGGAGAAGAUUUAUCACGGCAGUUAUGUGAUGAGGUCUUUCCGCAAUUUAAGAGAAUUAAAGGUCGGAAAUUGUAAUGUAUUGGAGAAUCUCUGUUCGUUCUCUAUGCUCAAGGGUCUUUUGGUGCUCGAAAAAAUAAAUGUAAGCCGCUGUGAAAUUUUGAAAGAGAUUGUUGCUAUGGAAAGAAGAGAAGAUUCUGAAAUUAAGUUGCCACAUUUACGCAAAUUGAAAUUGGAACAUUUACCUCAGCUUACAUGCUUUUGCUCCCAAGGGGAUGUGCCUUCCAUUUCCCUAAAGCCAGCAACAGCUUCUACGAGCUCUGGAGACGUCAUAUUGGAGGAUGAAUCUGCAACUCUCUCGCUACUUUUCAGCAAAAAGGUGCGCUUCAUAUCCUUUUUCUAGUCCCAUUUUUUUUUUUUUUUUUUCAUUUGAAAAUGAAGUAUAUUUCUGUUUAUGAGACGUGAAAUAAUAUCAAAUUCUUGGCAGCUAAAGCAACACAAAUCAAAUAAAACUUUUAAGGUUGAGUUUUUUUUUUUUUUCUUUUCUUCCAAACAAAGUAUAUAUAUAUAUAUAUAUAUUAUAUUACUCCCGUCCCAAAAAGACAGUACACUUCCUUUUUUCACACAAAUUAAGAAAUAUAAUUAAAGAAUAAUUUUUUUUAUAUAACUUUUCUAUUUUGUCCAUAUUAAAUAACACAUGAUUAUUGAAAUAAUAACUAAUAAUUAAUUCAAUAAGCGUAUAGUAGACAUUUCUUACUUAAUUUCCAAUACAUUAACAUUAAUUGUUCACUUUAAUAAACUCAGAUUGUUCACUUCAAUAAUAGGAAACUAAGCUAACCAAUUAAAUUAAAAGUUUUAAAUAAUAAUUUUCUAUUUUAUGUUUUAGGCACUAAAAUUAAUGCAAUUAUUAAAUUUAAGCAUGUCCAUUUCUCUAUUAGUAUGUUUUGGAGUUGACAGUACUUAAAUUUAUUUUUCUUGAAACACAAAUUGUGUCUACAGAUUCAAUUCCCCAAUUUGGUAGAUCUGAAAUUAGCUUCAAUCAAUGUGGAGAAGAUAUGGCCCAAUCAACUUGCAGAAUUAUCUCCAUGGAUUACAAACUUAACAAGCUUGAUUAUUGACACCUGCGAGAAUUUAAGCUAUUUAUUCACAUCUUCUAUAGUUGAAAGCCUCGCGAAACUCAUAAACAUUGAGAUAAGGGAUUGUAAAUCCAUGAAAGAAGUCAUAGUUACAAACCGAGAAGAAAUGAAGAGCAAAAUGCUAUUCCCUAAACUGGUCUCCAUGAAGCUCAAAGGCCUUCAGAGUCUCAGAAGAUUUUGCACUGCGAAGUUCAUAGAAUGUCCCUCCUUGAAACACUUGUGGAUAGAGAAUUGCCCGCAACUCCAAGCAUUUAUCUCUAGUUCCAGAAGGACAUAUGCGGGAACUAGUGGACAAGCAAACUCAACUCUCUUUGAUGAAAAGGUUAUUUCCUUCUUUUCUGUUUACGUUCAUCUUUUAGUUUUCAGAAUUUGAUGUUAACUCCAUGAAAUUUUUACUUCAGAUUUUGUUUCCCAACUUGGAAAAUCUGCGUAUCACGAACAUGCACACAUUGAAGAUGAUAUGGAACGAUGAACUCCGGGUGGAUUCCUUUUGUAGAUUGAAAGUACUCGAAGUAGAGCAUGGAAAAGAACUAUUGAAAGUUUUUCCAUCUAAACAGUUGCUGAGAUUCAAGAACUUAGAAAGAUUGAUGGUUAAUGAUUGUAAUUUAGUGGAAGAGGUAUUUGAUCUCCAAGCAUUGAUGAAAAAACAAGAAGAAACAGAUGUUGUAGCAACCAGUCAGACUCAAUUGAGAGAUUUGAGUAUAAGAAACAACUCCCAAAUUUGAAGAAUGUAUGGAAUGGGGAUCCUAGUGGAAUUUUGUCCUUUAGUAAGCUACAAAUUGUGUAUGCAUGGAUUUGUCCAAAUUUGAAAGAGCUAUUCCCAUUUUCAAUAGCUCAAAGUCUUCCACAACUUGAACUGCUGAAUAUAGAUGGUUGCGGGAUGGAGGAAAUUGUUGCCAAAGAGGAAAGAGCAGAAGCAACUCCUAAGUUUACAUUUAGUCGACUGAAGUCCUUAUCCCUUUGGAGAUUAAAUCGAUUAAAGUGUUUUUACUCAGAAAACCACAUCUUAGAAUGUCCGCAGUUAGAAAAAUUGAGUGUCUAUCACUGUGAUAAAUUGGAAAUUUUUACUUCAGAACCUGGGGAUUUGCAAACAAUGGACUUGGAGAAGCAGAAGACUCAAUUGAAAAUUCAGGUUCCGCAGCCACUUUUUUCAUUUAGAAAGGUAUGUAAGAAAAUGUGUUUUUUUCAAUUUUAAUAUUUUACAAGAAAAAAGUUUCUUAAAACCUAAAAAACAAAACAUUUUUCCUUCGAACAAAAUUUGAUUUAUUCGUUUGAGUUCGUAAUCAUAUAACUGUAUUCCUAUAAACGGACUAUUAACUCAACUUGAUUUCUAUUCAAUGGUUUCCAGAUUAUUCCCAACUUGAAGCAUUUAUCAUUAGAGAACAGGGACACCUCAACGAUUCCUCAAGGCCAGUUUCCAGCACACAAACUAGAAUUUCUUGAAUUGAAUUGUUUUCUUGAUGGUUCAACAGAUUCUGCAUUUGGUCUCAUUCAUAAAUUUCCAAAUAUUAAAAAGCUUACUCUGGCAGCUUCUUCCUUCAAAGUGCUAUUCCAACAUGGUAUUCUUGGUGAAGCUGAAGGGGCUCUCGCUCGGCUGCAAUUCUUAAAACGGGACAACCUUCCGCACAUGAGCCACAUUUGGAGUGAAGAUUGCCCACCUGACCAUGUUUUCCAAAAUCUUGAAGCUUUAGAAGUAUGGGUUUGCCGCAGUUUGAUUAUCUUGGCACCGUCAACCGCAUCUUUCCAAAACCUUUCUACUCUUGAUGUUUCGGACUGUGAUCGACUAGUUAACCUAGUAGCAUCCUCUACUGCAAACAGUAUGGUGAACCUCACGAAAUUGACUGUAAGAGAUAGCAAUAUGCUGAAAGAAAUUGUAGCCAACGAGGGAAAUGAAUCCCAAUCCCAUUCCCAACCUCAGAUUAUUCUCAGUAAAUUGGAAACUCUAGAGCUCUGUGGCUUAAAAAACCUGACUAGCUUCUGCUCAAUCGCAAGUUGCACCAUCAAAUUCCCAUCUUUGAAUGAUGUAGUUGUGGCACAGUGCCCCAACAUGAAGAUUUUNNNNNNNNNNNNNNNNNNNNNNNNNNNNNNNNNNNNNNNNNNNNNNNNNNNNNNNNNNNNNNNNNNNNNNNNNNNNNNNNNNNNNNNNNNNNNNNNNNNNNNNNNNNNNNNNNNNUGUUGAAUGUUGACUUAGUAGCUAUGGUGAAGGCCGUUGGAAGAUUAGAUAAUUAUUUGUUAUUCUGUUGCUAUUUUUAAGGAAUAAUUUAAUAUGCUUAUCAUAUCAGAUAUGCAUAAUAAGUUUGCUUAUUUUUCUGAAGUUUUCUGUUUUUAGAGUCUAUAAAUACUUCUGUAAUAGUGUUUCAAUAUAAUAAAAAAAAAGCCUUCACAUGUUUAUAAAUUUUGUUGUUUAAGAUCCUUUUUGAAUUACUCUUAGUUUCUGAGACACAUAUCUAACAUAUCUCUUAUCAUCAUCAAUGAUUAAAAGUAUUGUGCAUCUCCAAAGAAUUGAGAUAUGUGAUUGUAAAAAGAUGGAGCAAGUAAUAGUCGGGGACGGUUCAGAAGAAGAAACGAGGAUGCUACUACGUGAACUAGGGUUCCUGAAACUUGGAGGUCUUCCGAAACUCACACGAUUCUGCACAUGUGAUUUGAUUGAAUGUCCUGCAUUAAAUGAGCUGCAAAUUAUAAAUUGCCCUGUACUGAUGACAUUUGUCUCCAGUUCUGCAAGUGCAGUCAUGGCAGCAAGCAGUGAACGGGAAAUAUUGGACUAUACACUCUUUAAUGAAAAGGUGAUCUCUUUUUCUAAUUAUCUAAAAAGAUUGUCUUCAUUCCUGUUAUAUGGUUCGGUUAAUUUGUUUAUUUAGCUGGUGUACUUUCGUGUUCUAUUUUCAUCAUAUUAGUAAUGGAGUAUGAUUUUGUGAUGCAGGUUGCAUUCCCCAACUUGGUGCAAGUGCAAAUUUCCAAUGCAGAUGCUUUGAGAAAGAUCUGGCACAACCAACUCCACUCAGAUUCUUUCUACAAAUUACGGGUAAUGAAGGUGGAAUAUGGCAAUCAACUAGUGCAAAUUUUUCCAUCUAACAUAUUCAAGAGACUCGAGAAUCUCAACGAUGUGGUCAUAGGGAAUUGUGAUUCACUAGAAGUGGUCUUCGAUCUCCAAGAGCUGGUUAUAAAUAUAACAGAAUCAAUAACGAGUGAAUUGAGAGAUUUGGAUAUUCGAAACCUCCAAAAUUUGAAGUAUGUGUGGAAUAAGGAUCCCCAACAAGCUCUCUCCUUUCCUAACUUGAGUUCAGUUUAUGUUUGGGACUGUCCAAGCCUGAAAAACCUGUUUCCAACUUCCAUUGCUAAAAAUCUUCUCAAACUUAAAACAAACUUGACUUAAGUAAUUGUGGCUUGAAAGAACUUGUUACAAAGGAGGAAGAAGUGGAAACAAAUCCUAAGUUUGCAUUUCCUCAACUCAAGUCCUUGGACUUGUGGAGAUUAAAUGAGCUAAAUUGUUUCUAUCCUGGAUCUCACACACUAGAAUGUCCAGUUCUAGAAAAGUUGGCUGUCUUUCAUUGUGACAAAUUGGAGACUUUAACCUUUGAACCAGUUGACAGCAACUUGCAAGAAACACAAAUGGAGAACGCGCUUUUCUCAUUUAGAGAGGUACCUGUGGUCCUCAAUCCCUAUAUUAAAGAAAAUCUAAGCACGACGAGUUUUUUUCUUAACAUGUCUUCAAACUAUUUCAAUUUGUCUUUUUUUCCAGAUCAUCAACAACUUGGAGCAUUUAUCGCUAACAAGAAAGGAUGCAACAACGAUAUUGGAAGGCCAGUUUCCAGAAGACCUCUUUCACAUGCUGAAAUUCAUACAGAUAAAUUGCUAUCACGAUGAAUCUGCAGUUUUUCCAUUUGAUCUCCUUGAAAGAUUCCACAGCAUGGAAAAACUUGCUGUAGGGUGCAGUCAAUUCAAAGAGCUGUUCCCACAUGAAGGACAUGUAGGUAAAGAAAAAUAUGUUAAGACUGUCGGGCAGAUACGGCACCUAGAGUUGUAUGCUCUUGCCAAUUUAGAGCAUAUUUGGAACCAAGACUCCCAGUUAGACAAAGUUCUUCAAUCUCUCGAAAUUCUAUCUGUUUGGCGGUGUGACAGUUUGAUUACUUUAGCACCAUCCUCAGCUUCUUUCCAGAAUCUGACAACUAUGGUUGUAAAAUCUUGCAAAGUAUUAGCAAGUUUGAUGACGUCCUCAACAGCAAAAAGUCUGGUUCAGCUUACAAGAUUGAGUAUAAGGGAAUGCGAUAUGCUGAUAGAAAUAGUUGCCAGCGAAGGAAAUGAUGGAUCAAGAGAGGAGAUCAUCUUCAACAAAUUAGAAACGCUGGAACUUCUUUAUUUACCCAGCCUCGUUAGCUUUUGUGCAGCAGGGCACAGCUUCAAGUUUCCCUCUUUGACACUAGGAAUUGUGGAGCAGUGCCCCAAGAUGCAGGUUUUCUCAAGUGGAGUCUUAAGCACGCCAAAGCUACAAACUUUAAGAGUGACAGGAGAACAAGGACAUGAAGGACGUUGGAAUGGCAAUCUUAACGCCACCAUACAACAGUUGUUUACAGAAAUGGUAUGUUUUCUGAAUUCAAUAUUCAUUUCCUUUAAUGAAUAGGUAGGUAAGUGCAUGCGUUAGUAGUUCAAGAAAUCACACAAUUCAUUAAAAGACCAAAAAAGGAAAACCAUUUCUUUAAAAAUUGGUAACUAGAGUCGUCCUCAAGCAUUAUCUGACUUUAUUGCCUCUGCUGCAUAUUUUGCAUGGUCGCCAGAAUGCAGAGGAAGAUCAAUCGCCAUCUAUCGAGUGCUGAAGGCGUAAAAAGUCGAUUUUCGUUGUGAUACGAGGCAGUAGAGGCAAAUGGUGUACUCUAUUGAUUUAUGAAAUGGUGGAGGAUCAUUUUAUUUCCAUGUUAUUGCUGCUGUGAAGCUCUCUCUAUAUUUGUAUUUCUUCAAGGAUUCUGAUAUUCAUCUUAAAUUUGUUUUGAAUAAAUUAUAUUUCUGACUUGAAACCAUCAAUGAAGUGCAGAGAUCUUAUUUAAAUUAAUAUACACGAGAUUCUCAAUGGCAAAACAUCCCUCUUAACUUAACACAUUCUUUUUACAAUACCAGAAAAAACAUUCAAGUUACCAUACGAUAUUAAGUUGGAGGCUGAAGGGGCUAAGGCCACCCAAGAAUUAAAAAAAAAAAAAAAAAUUCUUUUGAAAAUUAUAUUUUGCUCUCUACAAUUUGCAACAAAAUUUCAUUUGGCUCCUCAAAAUAAUUAAAAUAAUUGUCCUAGCUCUACCUCUGAUUGCAAACAGCUUUGCUAUGAUGAUACUAGCAUUGUUUCAAGGGUGUGAUGCUAUAAUUAUAAAUUUUAUAUCUCAUUGAAAAGAUAAUAUGAGAUAAUAAGAAAUAAGCUAGUUGUUCCCCUUUUUUUUUUUUUAAAGAAAAAAAGAUGUAAUGAGAGAUUUGAACGAAUCACCGGACUUUUCAUCAAUUCGAUGAGAUUUAUUAAAAAAUGUGAGGACUCAUGUAAAAUUUAAGCUCAAAUAUUUUUUAGCUGAAAGAAAUUCAUUUGAAAGUGAAAUUUUAAUAAUUUUUACUUUACAUUUUCACUGUCGUUUUCGGUUCAAAAUAUUAAUACUAAAGGAACGCCCAUAAUUACACAAAUAUAGUACAAAAUAUAGGUAAGAUCUUAGAAAAUUUUAAAAAAGUUAUAUUAUUUUCUUUGUGUGAACCUUUUAAAUGAUACAAGAGUGUAAGAGAAAGGCUUGUGAACCAAAAAUAUGCAUUUGGAGAAACGAAGACAUGUUAGAAACAUAUAUACUACACAUAGCAAGGAAGUGGUAAUAUCCCAUGAAGAAAAUGACUAGAGGAGAAAAAAAGUCUUUCCUUGAUUUUUGGAAGUAGAAAUUGCUUCACCAACUAAAUUCUAUAAUGACACAACCAUAUCAGAUAUAGCUUUAUUAUCAUAAACAUGUGCAAACAUUUAUUUUGUGGAUAUGCAUGCAACUAUAAAAUAACUCAAUCUUGAUUUAUUUAUCAUGUGAGUGGUUAGGAUUGAAUUAAAGGGAGCAUGCCUCCCUAACCACAUGAUAGGGACUUUUGUUUAUGAUAAGUGUAACUUAAGGGAGCAUUGUUUCAGAUAAGAUCAUACACCGGCUAAAUUUGAUAAUCACAAUUCAAAUACUCUCCGCCAAUUGAUAGCAACAUUUUUUUUAGAGAAAAUCAAAUUGAAAAUUUCACUAAAAUUUGGUAAAUUCAAAUCCAAACACUAGUCAUGUGUUCACAAUCCAUGGGCCUCAGUUUUCACAGCCCGUUUUAAGUAGACGAAAUUUGCUAUAGCUCAAGUGAGUUUUAAUUGCUUACUUGACCUCGGUUUUAAAAAAUGUUGCAAAGACUUGAAGUCAACAUUAUUAAAUUGUAAUUAAAAACUUAAAAUCAAAUUAAACACGAUUAAUUUAAAUGAAUUCAAAUUUAGUAAAUUCUUUCUUGACAUAUUAAUAUUAAUAUAUAUUUAAAAUUCAGCUCCUGAACUUUAAACCCCUAAAAUACUCGGAUUACUAUAUAUAAAAUAAUGAAUACAAUCCAAUUCUAUGCCUAGAUUUGAGUGGAUAUGAAGUUAUAAACAGAAACACGUCUAAGUCGUAGUUUCCAGUACAUAAGCAGUAAUCUGGAUGUGCAAAAAUGAAACCAUCUCCACAUUUUUUAACAACUCUGAUGCUGCAGGCAUUUCCUUCAACAACUCUGAUGCUGCAGGCAUUUCCUUCAACAACUCUGAUGCUGCAGGCAUUUCCUUCAACAACUCUGAUGCUGCAGGCAUUUCCUUCAACAACUCUGAUGCUGCAGGCAUUUCCUUCAACAACUCUGAUGCUGCAGGCAUUUCCUUCAACAACUCUGAUGCUGCAGGCAUUUCCUUCAAAUAUUAAACCUCCCCAUACUUGCCUGCAACUAUUUUGUUAGGCUGACAAUUACUGAUACAAUAUAUGGAAGAAGGUACAAUAAUAAAGCACCAAGCACUGAUGAUAGUGCAAGUAUUAGAAAACAAAUUGUCCUCUACUGAUUUUUAACUUGCGCGCUCUAAUGGGGAACUAAACAGAAAAGGUAAAUAGAUUUAAGAACAAGUUAGCGAUAGGACAUAGACGGCCCCGCAAAUGAGUACCGAGAUGAAACAGGCGGUGGUGCGAUUUCUGGUUUGGCUCCUUGGUAUGUCUUCCUAUAAUCUGGUAGUGGAUCAAUAGCAUACUUUAAGUGCAAUUUAUCCAUUUGAUCAGUCUCUCUCCUAUGUAGAGGAUCAGCUUCAGUUAAAUAAGUCUCUUUCAGACUAUCAGAAUAAUAGGAAGCUGAAGAAACUUCUUCGCGCCUUGGGGGCAGCACAUAUGAAUUCGCAGAAGCACCGUGUUGAUAAGAAUAAUAUGGAUCCCUUGUAUACGAGUCUAACGCAGUAAUCGCAGAACCAGAUGCUGCUGCAGAAACUGAAGGAGCUGCAGGUGGCAAUUCACUUCUACCACUAAGAUUAUAUGUCUGAAACUCUCUUUGAGCCAAGUACAGGGGAUCAGCAAGAAUGGAUGCUCUCUGCAUGGGAACAGUAUCACCAUAUAUAGUAGCUGGCUGUCUAAGAAGCUGCUCUCUUUCCAGAUCCUUCUGGUAUAGAUCUAGGGUAUUAGAAGGAGCACCACGUACAGGAGUCACGUUUCUUCGCUCUCUUUGAAGACCAUAAGUACGAUAAUCCUUUUCACUCAUGUAUAAAUCGCGAGAAGUUUCCUCUUUAUGUCUUAAUACCACCUCCUGGCGCCCAAUACCCUGAUCCCUUUCAUGAGGGACUACAGGAUAACUCCUACCAUCACCACUAACUCUGGCAAAUGUUUCCGGAUCUGAAAGACGUCGCAAAUCUCUCUGCCCCUCACAAGCUUCCCUAUCUCGCAUAGUUGCCUUUGCUGGGGAAUGGAUAGGCACUGUAGCUGACUGCACUGACUGAAAUAUGGCAGGUCGGAAAAGUUCACUGAGCUUCCUAACCUGAAAGGGAAAUUUCGUAAAAUCAUGAAUGGUAAACUGUGAAAAUAGAGAAUAACCAUAAAACUACCAGGUUAAACAAGUAAUUCUCACUUGUCGAACAGUAAGUUCUAUCUUGAACUUGUUCUUCUCAUCGUAGUUGUCCUUUAUAGCCCUCUUGAAGACACUCUCAGGGAGUGGAAAACAAUCCUUAUGGAUACUGAAACGUACCUGAACUUCAAAGAUAUCAGUCUACAGAUCUAACUAAAUUGGUGAAGAAAACAACAAUGUUUACCGAGAUAAGUUAGACUGGAUAUACUAAAACAUAACCUGAACUGGGAAGGACCCACCAAAAGCCUUGGGCUCCAGUCUCAUCCCACCAGAAGAUGAAGCUUUAUAAAUUCCAUACAUAAGUCUAAGAUCAAAAUCAUAGAGGAAAAGCUUUAGUCCAGGUUUCACACCCAGCACAAGGUCUUUUUUACUUCCUGUUACUCCCAUGACUUGAUAUCGGAAACAAUCUGGCUUGGUCUUUGCACUACACAUAAAGAUCAAACCACCGAGCUUCUCCUUUCUUUCAUCUCUUUGACUCUUUUCCUUCAAAUCAAGCUUUUCUUUGUUUCUUUGACUCCUCGAGUUCUUAUCUGUAUUGCCAGGCUUUCCUUCACUCCUUAAGUUACUCCCGUUCCUACUUGAACCAGCAAUCCUUUCUUGGCUCUUUUGAGUCUCCAGGUGCUUUGCAUUGUGCUCUUCAUGGGCACCUUUGUUUUGUCCCUCUUUCUCAGAAUUUGGGUUCUGAUCAUUCUUGUGCUCUUGCCUGUCACCUUCCUUUUUUCUCUUGGACAACAUUGUUAUUCUUCUUCUUUCUGUUUCUUCCCCAAGUUCGUGGAUUAUCUUUAGCUUUCUUGACCUUCAAUGAUUUUUUCUUAACUUCAGAUUUGGCCCUCAAUGAUUUGGGGGUUAUUUUUUUGGAUGAUUCUGGUUUAAUUGGUGUUUCACCAGGAUUCCCAGAUUCCUUAUUUUGCAUUGCACUUGAUGGUGAUUCGGUGGAGGUUUCCACAGGAUUCUUAGCUUCCUCAUUGUUUUUUUCAGGUGAUAUUGAUGUAGCUUGUGCUUCAGCAGAAUUGCCUGAAUCUUUAUUGGCAUUAUCUUGUUCCAUGUACCCUAUGAAAUUGUAUAGGGUAGAAAAAUACCCGAUACUUUUUGGCAUUUCUUUUAUUGUAAGUUACACGUGAUUUAUUAGCUCAAAAUUAAAAGUGGAAUUAUCUUUUUGGAAGAUGUAACUUUUUUUGUAUAAAGUAUCAAUCCUUUUGUACAGCUGAUAUUUAAUAGAUAAGCCAAACUUAAAGUUCUGUAUUUAUGUUAAGCUAGAUUUGACUUGAGCAGUUUCAGUGAUUUCGUCAUUUCACAUAUCCAGUUAUUCCUUUGCAAAUAUGUUUGAUAUUCACCACUAUAAGGUGCAUUUUUUGGCUUUCUGUUUUGUCAUUUUUAUGUAUCCACUUCUGUCCUUGUGCAGGCAUUGUCUUCUUUGUAUAUAUGGGACAAUUGCCCUUGCGUUGGUUCGUGCAGGAAGAUUGAAAGAAUUAAGGGUUGUAUAUAUUUUAACUGGUAAAAUUAACUUUAGUUAUCUUCUAGUUGAUGGCAGUUAUGCUUGUGAAUGUAGUGUCUAACUUUUCCUUAUUUGCAGUUUACUAUGGCAUUGAAAAUUCAUUUAGUAGUCCAGCUCCACAUGUUGUACAGGUAGACAUGAUGAAUUCUUACCAUUCUUCUCUGGCACUUUAUUGCACUUUUCUAUUUAUGUUUUCAUUAAUUGUUAUUUUCUGUUUGCAGUGGCUGUUGGGCUCAUAUAACACACAAAUACUUCUUAUGGUGUUUCUUGCCAUAGUUUCUCUCUUAUUAGCAGGAUUCUUUGGGUACCAUGCCAACCUGUGUCGAAUGAAUACCACGACUAAUGAGGUCUGGUCUAGUUUCUCUGUAAUUUGUUCAACUAGUUUUAUCUUUUCUCUUGGACAUAGGCAGAAUAAUUUACAAAAUGGGAGAAGCACGUACUAUCCCUGAUUCCAUUUCUUUUUUAUGGGUCAAAAAUGGAAUCAAAUGUGUUGUUGAACAAUGAAUAACUACCACAACUGCAGUGCUAUGCAUGUUUGCCUCUUCUGGUUAAUUUCAGGACAAAAACAUUGCAUCUUAAUUCUUAAAUAACUUCACGUAACUUUAAGAAGUUUAUGUAAAGUAGUUUCCUUCCCUCAGGCUUAUUUGUGGUGAGUUUAAUAAUCGGUUCUGCAAUGUCAGUAAGGAUCAAACUCUUUCCCAUAAGAGUUCUUGUGAUGGCUGUAUCGAUCUUUACAUGUGAUGUUAUUAAAGUAGUUGAUGUAAUUUGUUGUUUUUUUUUUCUUUUUUUAAUAAAAAUUAUUUCUGGUAGUUUAUGGUAGUUAAAGCCAUUUCUCUCCCUCACUCUAUUGGCAGAUUCAAAUUGUUGCCUUACUUCUUUCGGUAAACAAUUAAUCCCUGAAACUUACAUCUCUGUGUUCUUUGACUUUUUGGUUGGGAUUUACAGACCUUCAAGUGGCAAGAGUACCUUGUCUGGCAAAAGAAGGUAAAUGAAGCAAGGGUUAGUGCCGCGGCACUAAAAGCAAGCAUCAGUGAGAUGGGUGACAAAACAAAGAAUUCAGAGAGCAAACGCAGAGGCUUUUGCCGGAGAUCACCCCUCAAAGAUGCUGAGGUUUUAGUUAAGAGAAACGUGUAUGAUAAGGGAUUCUUUCACAAUCUUUGUGAGGUAAUCUUUCCGCUGUCAACAAUGUUAAAGUUAUAGUUACAGCUCCAUUGAAGUAAAAUUGAUGCAAGUGUUGUUGACAGUUUUUGGAGAAAUUUUGUUAAAGUCAUUUAGAUUUUGUUGUAUUUUGUUGAAGUCAAGAGGUAGGUGAACUACCUUGCUUUUAGGUAGGUUUGGUGAACAACCUUCCUUGACUUAUGGAAGGUUGGUGAACAAACUUUAGACUAGCUCUACUAUAAAUGUUUACAUUAUGCUUUAAUGAAAAAAUAAGAAGUGAAUAUUUGUUUCUUCACACUUACAAAAUCUGCAGCUUUUUUUUCAUUUUCUGCAGAAUUUUUCUUCUCUUCCUUAAUUUUCUGCUCUUCUAAACCAACAAACAAAACCAUCAUGUUUGAGGAAAAAAUCAAAGUCUCGCUGAGAUAGUUGUGAUCAAGCAUUAACUGGGUAGUUUCUAUAGCUUUUCCCUUGAUAGGAGCUUGAACCCAUACUGCAUGUUCAAUAUAUUAUAAUAGAACGUAAUGGAAUGUAAUUCAAUAUGAUAAAAAGAUAAUAAAAUAAUAAACUAUUCCAUUGCGCUCCAUUAUAUAUUACCAAACAUGCAUGUAGAGAACGCUGUGAAGCUUAUAUUUUAUUUGCUGAUGGAAUAGGCAAAAAUAUAAGCAGCAUAGCAAAAAUAUAAGCAGCAUAGCAUAUGGCCUUCACCUUGCAGAGUGAAGUUUGCGAGAGUUUAAUCAUAAUCCUGCAUUUUUACAUUUUAUUUUGGUGAUGAACAUAAUUAUUACUGAAAUAUGAAAGUGUAAGAUCAUAAUAGGUCUUUCCAAAACUUGAGAGGGUGUCACAAAUUGCACAAACUUUACCUUUUUCUUUUUUCUCUUUUUAUAAGUGGUUCUAGCUUCUCAUGUUAUGAUUUGUCUUGUCUUCCCGAAAACUUUUUUUAGGUUCACAACUUGCAAUGUGACCAUCUAUGUACUAUUCCAUAAUUUAAUUAUUUAAAACUAUAUUCAAUAAACUGUGAGCAGAAAAGUAAAAAAAAAAAAAGAAAAUUCCUUUUUAAAAAAGGACAAUUGUCUUUCAUGGAAUUUUUUUUGAGAAUAAAGCUCAAUUUGUUUACUCGACUUAGCAAACUAUAAGCUACUUAAAAAUUAAUUUUUUUAUAUAAUUUAUCUCUUGAACUUACACAAAAAGAAGAAAAAGCUUAUUUUUUUUAAAAAAAAUUAUUUUAAAUAUUUUUAAUUAAUAAAAAUAAUUUAAAAGUUUAGACUUAAAAAAGAAAAAAUAAUUUAAAAAAUUACAAUAUAAUUAAACAAAAUAAUUAAAUUGCUUUCAAAUUCUAAAGGUAAAUUAUUCGAAAAGAUUUUUGAACAAAUUAUACAUUGUUCCACGUUCAAAGGGCAAAUUGGAUCGGAAGUUAAAAGUUUUUAUAUAUAAUGGUUUGGUUCGAAUGGAUGGUUUUCAAAACCAUAUAACCGAACUAAAAGCUCAAGUUUUAAAUUUUACAAAAGCAAAUCAAAUCAUCAAUUAUCGAAAACCACAGUCAAUUUCAGCAGUGAGAUGAAUAGCACUAUCAUCUUCAAGGACAAAUCAAAUUUAUUCAAGUGGUAUAGAUUUGGAAACUUUCUUUAGCUUCCACUGUGCAUAAAUAAUGACUCAAAGCUUCUCUCAUAACUCCUUGAAUGCCAUUGUAAUAUAAAAUUAGUCCACAACGUAAACUCAUGCCAGUUUGUCCUGUGAAGCAACUUGGCCUCGCUGCAUUUAUUAGUGUCUUCAAUGUCAAAAUGAUCAUUUGCAUGUAGAACAUUCUAUAAUCAAUCAACAACUUUGUGUGUAAACAAGCAGAUUAGCCUCAAGUCAAACUGCUGAAAUCAUAAUUGUUAAUUUAACCAGUUCAUGCAUGAUGAUCAAGUAAAUCUGAAAAAGAGUGGUUGUGAUGUGAUCGUCACCACAACCUACUGUAGCAACAGCUUCGUUAUUUAAGUCUGGGGAAGCAGGCUGUUUUACUUCACUUCAAGCCUUCACCCGCUUCUUUCUCUUUCUCUUCUUUGAUCAGCCAUUCUAAGCUUUCGCCAAGUGAUCAUGUAACGAUCAUAUGUUUUCUGUGUCUGAAAUAGUAAUUUAUUAGUCUGUGAAUAGUAUUGCUGGUUCGAAAAUUGAUAUUAUUUUUAUCCGAAAAAAUUACUAUAUAUGUUUUAUAUUUUAUUUAAUAUUUUUGGAGCAUACAUGCAUAAUUUUUAUGGGUAAAAAAUAAGUAAUGAAUAUUUUUGAAAAAUUUAGAUAAUUAGUUAAUAGUGAAUUAUGGUGUUAUAUUAAUUAAGGAAAUUUGAAGAAUUUAUUUUUUUGAGUAAAUUUAAAAAUUUUGUGGAGAUAAAUAGUAUUUUUAAAAAAUUUAAUUGGAGAAUAUUUUUAGCCAUUAGAUUAUAUUACCAUAAACUAAAUCUUAACCACCAAAUUCUUGUCAAAGACUAAAAAGCCCUUUAGUAAAGUCAACUCAAAUAAUUGAGCUACCAUUUUCUCUUCUUCUUCUUCUCCUUUUGGGCGUUAACUCCUCCUCCUUCUUCUUCUCUUUGUUUUUCUUCGCUUCCUAGCUAAAUCCACCGAAUUUACUCCAUUUAACUUGCUUAAGUAAUAGAUCCUAGAGAUUAAAGCUUGAAAAUUGAUUUUUGGUGACUAAGUUCAAGAAAUUUGGAGAGUUACUACUUAAGCCAAGUAAGUGAUCACUUCCUUCCUGCAGAUUAAGGAUUUCAAAUUCCUUCUUUUGUUUGCUUUUAUAUUCCAUUCCUUCGUAUUUAGUCUGUUUUCUCCUUGUUGUUUUCCAUUUCUCAUUUUGAUUCCAAAACCACAAUCUUUUCUCCUCUCUGUUCUUUUUAUGUUAAUUGCUUAUUAUUAGUUGAUUUUCUUUCCAAUUCUCAAUCUUUUUCCUGUCCUGAAAGUUUGUUUUCUUAUUCCUAUUUUCCAAAAAAAAAAAAAAAAAAAAAAAAAAAACCAAUCCAAUUAAGGAGCAAAUGGAAACAGUUGUGGGAACUGGAGUAACAAAAGUUACAGAACCGUUGGUUGAUUCAGUAUUGCGUCAAAUUGGGUAUAUAUGGAACUACCAGGACAACCUCCAGAGCUUGAGAGCUCAAGUACAAAACCUGAAAGGUGAAAUGCAAGUUUUGAAGCAUGACAUGGAGAAUGCUAGACAAAAAGGAGAACAAAUUGAAGAUGUCGUGAAGAACUGGCUGAAAGAUGCGAAUGAGAAAAUUGAAGCUUCAGAGAAAAUUUUGGAAGAUAAUGACAGAGCAAAUCAUUUUUGCUUUAUGGGAUGCUGUCCUAAUAUGAAGACUCGCCACCAGCUCAGCAGAAAAGCAAAUAAAAAGACACAAGUUCUGGUUGAGGUUCGAAAAAAUCGCAAGUUUGACAAAAUCUCCUACCGCACUGCUCUCAAGGGGAUAGGCCCUCCUAAGGAUUAUGAAGCCUUUGAAUCCAGAAUGCUAAUUUUGAACCAAAUGCUGGAGGCUCUAAAAGAUGUUGAUGUUACUAUGAUUGGGGUGUAUGGAAUGGGAGGUGUGGGCAAGACAACACUAGCAAAAAAGCUUGCCAAACAAGUUGAGGAAGAUGGAAUUUUCAAGGUGGUGGUUAUAGCAACGGUAACCUCUAAUGUAGACUUGAAAAGAAUUCAACAAGAGAUCGCAGAGUGGUUAAGGUUCCCUCUUGAAGCGGAGGUCACCGCAGUGAGGGCAGCUUUGUUAUGCUCAAGACUGGAACAGGAGGAGAAAAUUCUUGUAAUUCUUGAUGAAGUUUGGGCACAAAUGAAACUAGAAGAUAUCGGAAUUCCUCUUGGCACCGAACAUAAAGGAUGCAAGAUACUGAUGACAUCCAGAAAUCUAAAUGUAUUGCAUGAGAUGGGCACAGAGAGGAAUUUCAAGCUUCAAGUUUUAGAGGAUGAAGAGGCAAGGGAAUUAUUUGAGAAGAAGGUGGGAACUCUAAAACAUUCGCAGAUAAAACCUAUGACAGAUGAAGUUGCAAAGAGAUGUGCAGGUUUGAUAAAACCUAUGACAAAUGAAGUUGCGAAGAGAUGUGCAGGUUUGCCAAUUUCAAUUGUGGCAGGUGCACCAGCAUUGAAAAAUAAGGGGUUGGAAGAAUGGAAGGAUGCAUUGGAACGCCUGAAAAGGUCUGGUGAGGAUGAUAUGGAUAAGCAAGUUCAAUCUUGUUUUGAUUUAAGCUACAGAUAUUUGGAAAAUGAUGAAAUCAAAUUACUGUUGCGCUUAAGCGCUUUAUUUCUUAGCGGUAGAGUAGACCAAUUGCUGAAAUAUGUUUUGGGCUUGAGUUUAUUCGAGGGAUGCAGAAACUUAGAGGAAACAAGAAAUAGACUUCAUAAGUAUGUUAAUGACCUCAAAUCCUCAUGUUUGCUGCUAGAAGGUCAGAGGGAUGGAGAAGUCAAAAUGCACGACGUUGUUCGCAGUUUUGCUAUUUCAACUGCAUCUAGGGAUCAUCACGUCUUCACUGUAGCAUAUGACAAGGUAUUAGAAUGGCCACCUAAAUCUAAACUUGAACAGUGCACCGCAAUCUCUUUAUAUUUUACUGAAAUUCCUGAGCUUCCGACAACACUUGAAUGCCAGCAACUGCAAUCAUUUCUACUAGUUUAUCCUGGUUUGGGUCUCUCGUUAAGAAUCCCAGAUGACCUUUUUACUAUGACAACAGAACUGAAAGUUUUGGAUUUAACAGGCAUAAGUUUAUUGUCACUACCUUUGUCAAUUCAAAUUCUUGAGAAUCUUCAAACCUUGUGUUUGGAUUAUUGUAAGUUGGAAGAUAUAAGUAUAAUCAUAAAGCUAAAGAAGCUACAAGUUCUCAGCCUUAUGAACUCUGAUAUUGUUCGAUUGCCAAGGGAAUUGGAGCAGUUGACUCAUCUGCGACUUNN
rnacentral:lncRNA from 1 species